CAAAGAACUUUGAAGAGAGAGUUCAAGAGGACGUGAAACCGCUUAGAAGGAAGCGGAUAGAGCUGACGAAACUGGGUGGCAUUCAGCCUGCGUAUGCCGGCGCGUGUGGAAGGCGGAGCGAUUGCCCGCUGACUGCGCGUGUUCCGGCCGUCGCUGGUGCAUUUGCCACCGGUAUGCGCCGAGAGCAUUGUUGAUCCGGUCCGAUCUGUCGAAUAGUGGCCCUGCUUCGGCUGGUGUCCUGGUCGGCAAAGUGGACAUGUGGUUGAUGGUGUUUCUGCUCGCAUGGUGCCCCGCUUUUGCACGGGGCGUUCUGCUGGCUGGUGUCCGUUGUGCCUGAUCGCGUGCGAUUUGGUGCGCGGCGCUGGUUGGCGGGGCGCUGCCGUGCUUGGGCGCUGUCUCGGUGUGAAAGUCGGCCACCUAUCCGACCCGUCUUGAAACACGGACCAAGGAGUCUAGCAUGUGCGCGAGUCACUGGGUGGCAAACCCACGGGCGCAAUGAAAGUGAAUGUCGGCUCUGGUCGGCUGAUACGGGAUCCGUCUCCGGGCGGCGCACCGUAGCCCCGUCCCGACUGCGUGCAGUGGGGCGGCGGCAGAGCGCACACGCUGGUACCCGAAAGAUGGUGAACUAUGCCUGAGCAGGACGAAGCCAGAGGAAACUCUGGUGGAAGUCCGUAACGGUUCUGACGUGCAAAUCGAUCGUUAGACUUGGGUAUAGGGGCGAAAGACUAAUCGAAC
rnacentral:rRNA from 1 species